rnacentral:sRNA from 1 species
GGACCAACGAGUAUGGCUGCGGCCUCUA